rnacentral:rRNA from 1 species
GCAGUAUAUUGACUGNGCAAAGGUAGCAUAAUCAUUAGUCUUUUAAUUGAGGGCUGGUAUGAAUGGUUGGAUGAGGUAAAUUCUGUUUUAUAUUAAUUUAUAUUGAAUUUAGAUUUUAAGUAAAAAAACUUAAAUAUUAUUAAGGGACGAGAAGACCCUAUAGAGUUUAAUAAAUGUAUUAAUUAAUUGAGUUAUGAAAGGUAAUUUUUGGUUAUUAUAGAAUUUAUUUAAUUGGGGUGAUUAGAAGAUAUGAUUAACUUUUCUUUAUAUUAAAUAACGUAAGUAGUUUUAUGAUCCAUAUUUAAUGAUUAAAAGAUUAAAUUACCUUAGGGAUA